rnacentral:rRNA from 1 species
GAUGAACGCUGGCGGCGUGCCUAAUACAUGCAAGUCGAGCGAACGGACGAGAAGCUUGCUUCUCUGAUGUUAGCGGCGGACGGGUGAGUAACACGUGGAUAACCUACCUAUAAGACUGGGAUAACUUCGGGAAACCGGAGCUAAUACCGGAUAAUAUUUUGAACCGCAUGGUUCAAAAGUGAAAGACGGUCUUGCUGUCACCUAUAGAUGGAUCCGCGCUGCAUUAGCUAGUUGGUAAGGUAACGGCUUACCAAGGCAACGAUGCAUAGCCGACCUGAGAGGGUGAUCGGCCACACUGGAACUGAGACACGGUCCAGACUCCUACGGGAGGCAGUAGUAGGGAAUCUUCCGCAAUGGGCGAAAGCCUGACGGAGCAACGCCGCGUGAGUGAUGAAGGUCUUCGGAUCGUAAAACUCUGUUAUUAGGGAAGAACAUAUGUGUAAGUAACUGUGCACAUCUUGACGGUACCUAAUCAGAAAGCCACGGCUAACUACGUGCCAGCAGCCGCGGUAAUACGUAGGUGGCAAGCGUUAUCCGGGAUUAUUGGGCGUAAAGCGCGCGUAGGCGGUUUUUUAAGUCUGAUGUGAAAGCCCACGGCUCAACCGUGGAGGGUCAUUGGAAACUGGAAAACUUGAGUGCAGAAGAGGAAAGUGGAAUUCCAUGUGUAGCGGUGAAAUGCGCAGAGAUAUGGAGGAACACCAGUGGCGAAGGCGACUUUCUGGUCUGUAACUGACGCUGAUGUGCGAAAGCGUGGGUAUCAAACAGGAUUAGAUACCCUGGUAGUCCACGCCGUAAACGAUGAGUGCUAAGUGUUAGGGGGUUUCCGCCCCUUAGUGCUGCAGCUAACGCAUUAAGCACUCCGCCUGGGGAGUACGACCGCAAGGUUGAAACUCAAAGGAAUUGACGGGGACCCGCACAAGCGGUGGAGCAUGUGGUUUAAUUCGAAGCAACGCGAAGAACCUUACCAAAUCUUGACAUCCUUUGACAACUCUAGAGAUAGAGCCUUCCCCUUCGGGGGACAAAGUGACAGGUGGUGCAUGGUUGUCGUCAGCUCGUGUCGUGAGAUGUUGGGUUAAGUCCCGCAACGAGCGCAACCCUUAAGCUUAGUUGCCAUCAUUAAGUUGGGCACUCUAAGUUGACUGCCGGUGACAAACCGGAGGAAGGUGGGGAUGACGUCAAAUCAUCAUGCCCCUUAUGAUUUGGGCUACACACGUGCUACAAUGGACAAUACAAAGGGCAGCGAAACCGCGAGGUCAAGCAAAUCCCAUAAAGUUGUUCUCAGUUCGGAUUGUAGUCUGCAACUCGACUACAUGAAGCUGGAAUCGCUAGUAAUCGUAGAUCAGCAUGCUACGGUGAAUACGUUCCCGGGUCU